CCCGGCGAGGUCGCGACCGUGAAGCUCCUCAGGGGCGGAAUG
rnacentral:SRP_RNA from 13 species